UAUAACAAUCGGCAAACACCCAAU
rnacentral:siRNA from 1 species